AGAGUUUGAUCAUGGCUCAGAACGAACGCUGGCGGCAGGCCUAACACAUGCAAGUCGAACGGUCCCUUCGGGGAUAGUGGCGCACGGGUGCGGAACACGUGGGAAUGUACCCUGGGGUAAGGAAUAAUGUCUGGAAACGGACACUAAUACCUUAUAAUGACUUCGGUCCAAAGAUUUAUCGCCCUGGGAUCAGCCCGCGUCUGAUUAGUUUGUUGGUGAGGUAAUGGCUCACCAAGACUACGAUCAGUAGCUGGUCUGAGAGGAUGAUCAGCCACACUGGAACUGAGACACGGUCCAGACUCCUACGGGAGGCAGCAGUGAGGAAUAUUGCACAAUGGGGGAAACCCUGAUGCAGCCAUGCCGCGUGAGUGAAGAAGGCCUUAGGGUUGUAAAGCUCUUUCAAUAGUGAAGAUUAUGACGGUAACUAUAGAAGAAGCCCCGGCUAAAUUCGUGCCAGCAGCCGCGGUAAUACGAAUGGGGCAAGCGUUGUUCGGAAUCACUGGGCUUAAAGCGUGCGCAGGCGGAUAUGAAAGUCGGGAGUGAAAUCCCAGGGCUCAACCCUGGAACUGCUCUCGAAACUCCAUAUCUAGAAUCCGGUAGAGGUUAGGAGAA
rnacentral:rRNA from 1 species